rnacentral:lncRNA from 1 species
GGGAGCAGGGGCUGGGGACUUGGUAUGAGGCACAGAAGUGCACAUCUAUGAGAACUCCUGUGAUUAUGACUUUCAACACCCAGGCCUGGGCCUCUGGGACCAUGGUGGAGAGCAGGCUGUCCCACAAAGCAGGUUCCUAUGCACUUCAUGAGGGACCCUUGAGGAAUCUUAAACUGCCAGGUGGCCAUGGAAAAGACAACUAGAGUUCCUCAGAUCUUCCAGAUAUUCCCCUACAUUAUCAAGACUCUCUUGCAGAAUGAGCAGAAUUCCAGAUGUUCCCCUACAUCACCAAGACUCUCUUGCAGAAUGAGCAGAAUCUGCACUGUGUCACUUCUGGAUGGAGGUAGCUAGAAAUCAGUGUGCUCUCUCCUACGCCCUUUCUCCCACUGCACCCCACUGGAAUACCAAGCAUUCCAAAUGGCACAGUGAGAAGCUUCAAAAGGGACUGGCCCAUAUUAGACUGUGAUGUGAAUGAAAAAUAUGUAUUUAUUGUAAUCAGUCACUGGUAUUUUAGACAUUUGUAUUACUAUUUAAUUACACACCUAUACUACUUAAGCCAACAUUCUUA